UUGGUGUGGUUGUUGCUGGCCCUCUCGGGGGCAUGUGCACACCCACCAUCCUCAUCUCUCCACCUGUGCACCUCUUGUAGACCUGGAUUGACUUUCCGAGGCAACUCGGUCGGGAAGAUUGCUGCGCUCUGUGAGCCAGCUUUCUUUGCAUGUCCAGGCCUAUGUUUUUCAUAUACCCCUAUAGAAUGUAACAGAAUGUAUCAUUGGGCCUUGUGCCUAUAAACCUUAUACAACUUUCAGCAACGGAUCUCUUGGCUCUCGCAUCGAUGAAGAACGCAGCGAAAUGCGAUAAGUAAUGUGAAUUGCAGAAUUCAGUGAAUCAUCGAAUCUUUGAACGCACCUUGCGCUCCUUGGUAUUCCGAGGAGCAUGCCUGUUUGAGUGUCAUUAAAUUCUCAACCUUAUUAACUUUUGUUGAUAAUGGAUUGGAUUGUGGGGGUUUCUUUUGCUGGCUUCUUCACAGAGAUCAGCUCCCCUUAAAUGCAUUAGCUGGUGCCCCGCGUGGACCAUCUAUUGGUGUGAUAAUUAUCUACGCCGUGGAUGUCUGCAAUUAUAUGGGUUUCGCACUGCUUCUAACCGUCUGUUCAUUCGGACAAUACAUGACAAUUUGACCUCAAAUCAGGUAGGACUACCCGCUGAACUUAAGCAUAUCAAUAAGCGGAGGAAAAGAAACUAACAAGGAUUCCCCUAGUAACUGCGAGUGAAGCGGGAAAAGCUCAAAUUUAAAAUCUGGCGGUCUCCGGCCGUCCGAGUUGUAAUCUARARAAGUGUUAUCCGCGCUGGACCGUGUACAAA
rnacentral:rRNA from 1 species